rnacentral:tRNA from 1 species
GGGCUUGUGGCUCAGUAGUAGAGCAUUUGCCUAGUGUGUGAGAGACCCUGGGUUUGAUUCUCAGCACCG